AUAGUGACCGCGGAUGCUCCGGGCCUCCAGGGCUCUGCUAAUUUCUCCCGGGCUGGGUGAGCAGACACCCCACGUGUAGUCGGGCGCUGCGAUUCCUUAGAUACAGAGCCACGCAAAGGACCCAGCUUCUCAAGAGAGGUGAGAAGCCUACAGAAUUGGAAGUGAGUCAGAAAAUCGAGUUUGUUUGAAGGAGCGGCUAAUUCCGUUUUUCUUUUUGAAGUUAUUAAAAAGUUGCAUUACUUUUA